rnacentral:rRNA from 1 species
AGAACGAACGCUGGCGGCAGGCCUAACACAUGCAAGUCGAACGCUCUCGCAAGAGAGAGUGGCGCACGGGUGCGUAACGCGUGGGAAUGUACCUCUAGGUACGGAACAACCCAGGGAAACUUGGGCUAAUACCGUAUAAUAUCUUCGGAUCAAAGAUUUAUCGCCUAGAGAUCAGCCCGCGUAGGAUUAGCUAGUUGGUGAGGUAAUGGCUCACCAAGGCUACGAUCCUUAGCUGGUCUGAGAGGAUGAUCAGCCACACUGGAACUGAGACACGGUCCAGACUCCUACGGGAGGCAGCAGUGAGGAAUAUUGGACAAUGGGGGCAACCCUGAUCCAGCCAUGCCGCGUGAGUGAUGAAGGCCUUCGGGUUGUAAAACUCUUUUAGAUGUGACGAUGAUGACGGUAACAUCAGAAAAGCUCCGGCUAACGUUCGCGCCAGCAGCCGC